rnacentral:rRNA from 1 species
GACGAACGCUGGCGGCGUGCUUAACACAUGCAAGUCGAAGAAGAGCGAUGGAAGCUGCUUCUAUCAAUCUUAGUGGCGAACGGGUGAGUAACGCGUAAUCAACCUGCCCUUCAGAGGGGGACAACAGUUGGAAACGACUGCUAAUACCGCAUACGAUCUAAUCUCGGCAUCGAGGAUAGAUGAAAGGUGGCCUCUACAUGUAAGCUAUCACUGAAGGAGGGGAUUGCGUCUGAUUAGCUAGUUGGAGGGGUAACGGCCCACCAAGGCGAUGAUCAGUAGCCGGUUGAGAGGAUGAACGGCCACAUUGGGACUGAGACACGGCCCAGACUCCUACGGGAGGCAGCAGUGGGGAAUCUUCCGCAAUGGACGAAAGUCUGACGGAGCAACGCCGCGUGAGUGAUGACGGCCUUCGGGUUGUAAAGCUCUGUUAAUCGGGACGAAAGGCCUUGCUUGCGAAUUG